rnacentral:tRNA from 1 species
UGAAAUCAUAAGAUGAUGAAUUGUAAAUUCAUAUUAGUAAAUAUAAAAAGCA